rnacentral:rRNA from 1 species
GAUGAACGCUGGCGGCGUGCUUAACACAUGCAAGUCGAACGGUGAACACGGAGCUUGCUCUGUGGGAUUAGUGGCGAACGGGUGAGUAACACGUGAGCAACCUGCCCCUGACUCUGGGAUAAGCGCUGGAAACGGCGUCUAAUACUGGAUAUGUGACGUGACCGCAUGGUCUGCGUUUGGAAAGAUUUUUCGGUUGGGGAUGGGCUCGCGGCCUAUCAGCUUGUUGGUGAGGUAAUGGCUCACCAAGGCGUCGACGGGUAGCCGGCCUGAGAGGGUGACCGGCCACACUGGGACUGAGACACGGCCCAGACUCCUACGGGAGGCAGCAGUGGGGAAUAUUGCACAAUGGGCGCAAGCCUGAUGCAGCAACGCCGCGUGAGGGAUGACGGCCUUCGGGUUGUAAACCUCUUUUAGCAGGGAAGAAGCGAAAGUGACGGUACCUGCAGAAAAAGCGCCGGCUAACUACGUG